UACGGAGGGCGCAAGCGUUGUUCGGAAUCACUGGGCGUAAAGCGCGUGUAGGCGGCCGGGCAAGUCGGAUGUGAAAUCCCGGGGCUCAACCUCGGAACUGCCUUUGAUACUGCAAAUCUCGAGUCCGGAAGAGGUGAGUGGAAUUCCUAGUGUAGAGGUGAAAUUCGUAGAUAUCAGGAGGAACACCUGCGGUGUAGACGGCUUUCUGGACCAUUGCUGACGCUGAGACACGAAAGCGUGGGUAGCAAACAGG
rnacentral:rRNA from 1 species